UACGGAGGGUGCGAGCGUUGUCCGGAAUCAUUGGGCGUAAAGGGCGCGUAGGUGGCCCGGUCAGUUCGUGGUGAAAGCGCGGGGCUCAACCCUGCGUCGGCCAUGAAUACUGCCGCGGCUGGAGCACUGUAGAGGCAGGCGGAAUUCCGGGUGUAGCGGUGGAAUGCGUAGAGAUCCGGAAGAACACCGGUGGCGAAGGCGGCCUGCUGGGCAG
rnacentral:rRNA from 1 species